AAAGGAGAUUAGAUUUUUAUUUGGACUACGAUGAAUUAAAGUCGCAAGUGCACUCGAUUCAUAAGCCCGUGUUUUUGGAUCCAAAGCUGAACGAAGCUUCGAUGCAAGGCCACCCAAAGGCUCCUUCAUCAACUCUUCAAUUACACAUCUCUGUGACUUCAUGUUAAGCAUUAGUCCUGGAUACGUUGGUGAAAUAUUGCAGUACUGCCGUACAUCAACAGCACGACAAAGUGUGGAUGUGGCUGUAGGGUUCAAUCGAGAAAUGCAGCAGCGAAUAAUGGCUUACCAGACGAAUGUGGUAAGGGAAUCGUCGGUGGAUAUAUAUUCUGAGGCAAACGACGAGGGGAGAGUUUUUGUAGCCAGUGUUUUAAGAGCGGUGAGUGAGUUAUGGUCGAAGC